UGAGGAAUAUUGGUCAAUGGCCGGAAGGCUGAACCAGCCAAGCCGCGUGGAGGAAGAAGGCGCAGAGCGUCGCAGACUCCUUUUGUCGGGGGACAAACGGCCGCACGCGUGCGGCUCUGAGGGUACCCGAAGAAAAAGCAUCGGCUAACUCCGUGCCAGCAGCCGCGGUAAUACGGAGGAUGCGAGCGUUAUCCGGAUUCAUUGGGUUUAAAGGGUGCGUAGGCGGUGUCUUAAGCCGGCGGUGAAAUCGCGGGGCUCAACCCCGCCGAGCCGUCGGAACUGGGAUGCUCGAGUGUCGGCGAGGCAUGCGGAAUGCGCGGUGUAGCGGUGAAAAUGCAUAGAUAUCGCGCAGAACCCCGAUUGCGAAGGCAGCGUGCCAGCCGCCCACUGACGCUGAGGCACGAAAGCGCGGGUAUCGAACAGGAUUAGAUACC
rnacentral:rRNA from 1 species